rnacentral:lncRNA from 1 species
CAUGGGCAGAAGAGACCCUAAGAAGCCAAGAGGCAAAAUGUGAUUAUAUGCACUCCCUGUCCAAGCUUGUUGGGAGGGACACGAGAAGAAGCACCCAGAUGCUUCAGGCAACUCCUCAGAGCUUUCAAAGAAGUGCCAGAGAGGCAGAUGACCAUGUCAACUAAACAGAAAAGAAAAUUUGAAGAUGUGGCAAAGGCGGACAAGGCUGGCUAGGAAAGAGAAAUGAAAACUUACAUCCUUCCUAAAGGGAAAACAAAAAAGAAGUUCCAGCAUCCCAAUGCGCCCAAGAGGCCUCCUUUGGCCUCUUCUUGUUCUAUUCCAAGCAUCACCCAAAAAUCAAAGGAGAACAUCCCAGCCUAUCCGUUGUUGAUGUUGCAAAGAAAGUAGGAGAGAUGUGGUUAUAAAACCGCUGUGGAGAAUAAGCAGCCUUAGAAAAAGACACCUGCAAAGCUGGAAGAAAAAUACAAAAGGGAUAUUGCUGCAUACCGAGCUAAAGGAAAGCCUGAUGUAGCAAAAAUAAGGGAGCUGUCAAGGCUGAAAAAGAAAGAAAAAGAAAGAAUAGGAGAAACAUGAGAAAGAGGAAGAGGAUGAGGGGGAAGGAAAGAUGGGGAAGAUGAAGAUGAUGAAUAA